UACGUAGGGGGCAAGCGUUGUCCGGAUUUAUUGGGCGUAAAGGGCUCGUAGGCGGUCUGUUGCGUCGGGAGUGAAAACUCAGGGCUUAACCCUGAGCCUGCUUCCGAUACGGGCAGACUAGAGGUAUGCAGGGGAGAACGGAAUUCCUGGUGUAGCGGUGAAAUGCGCAGAUAUCAGGAGGAACACCGGUGGCGAAGGCGGUUCUCUGGGCAUUACCUGACGCUGAGGAGCGAAAGUGUGGGGAGCGAACAGG
rnacentral:rRNA from 1 species